GAUCUAUUACCUGUGCCUGGAGAGGAGGGGACUCCUCUUCUCACCCGCUGGUCUCUGGACACAUACUGUCCAAUUCCCCUGKGGCAGCUGUAAUGUGUAGUUCAAUGGGCACUCAUUUGUCCCCUUUUAAGGGUACCCUCCUUUAGAAUCCAGGACCUUCUACCCUGCAGAGUGUGGUUUUGGGAGAGAAGUGCAAAAUCCCACGACAGGUGAGU
rnacentral:lncRNA from 1 species